AUUUGGUUUAUUUGGUUUAUAUUUUGCAUAAAUAUUCUGUUAAGAUCGGGUGGCGCCAUCUAGGUUCGAAGCCGACUGGCAACCUAAGGAUCAGCUGUCCCUUUUGACAAAUCGUCUGUCAGUGUCAGUGUCACUGUCAUUUUUCCUUCGAGAGAGAGGCUUAUUUCCGGCUUCGGCUCACUUACACUCUUACGGCUCCAAGCCAAGUCUUUUCCAUUUGGCAGCCAACGAGACCAGACGUCUCAGUUUAACAAGAAAACAAAAGGUGACUACCAACAGAAGCAAAUUAUAAAGCUUAAAGCUCAAAGCUGAGGAAACUGCAGAGGAGGAGAUCAUUUGCUGGUUUCUUUUUGGUUUUGCUAGUGAACAAAAAAAGGAAAAACUACUAUCCACUGCCACGUGCCAGGUCCACCCAGGGGCUUGGCAGCGGAAUUUUUUUUGUAUGCAGAGGUUAAGGCCGUCCUGGGAAAAGUCAGCAGCCAGCGGAAAAUUGAGUAAAAGUGGAAAUUGGAAAUUAAAUUAGCCAAGAAAACCCAUGCUUAAAAAUAGUGCUUAAAAACUAUGACUAAAAUUCCCCACCAAAAAUUAACCUAACACGUGCAGCCUGAAAAAAAAAAAAAACAAUUACAGUGAAACAAAUAAUAUAUAAAGUGAAAAAUGGAAAAAAAAAACCGUAAAAAGAAAAGAAUAAUGUGCAAAACGAAAAAUUUUAAUAUAUCCAUGUAUAUAUCUAGAAAGCUGUUCUGAAGUCAAGAAAGAAACGAAAAUGAAUUUUUUUUUUAUUUGUGGUUCCCGACACACUA